rnacentral:hammerhead_ribozyme from 1 species
AUUCAGCUGACGAGUUCCAAAUAGGACGAAACGCGCGUCCCGGAU